rnacentral:misc_RNA from 1 species
UCUCCGUUGGUGAACCAGCGGAGGGAUCAUUAUCGAGUUUAUAACUCCCAAACCCUAUGUGAACUUACCACUUGUUGCUUCGGCGCGCGCUUCGGUGCCGCCGAGGACACUUAAAUUCUUUGUUUUUAUAAGCAUUUCUGAGUGGCCGAAAGGCAAAAUACAAAUGAAUCAAAACUUUCAACAACGGAUCUCUUGGUUCUG